rfam:Schistosoma haematobium scaffold246_22, whole genome shotgun sequence.
AUCCAGUUGACGAGUCCCAAAUAGGAGGAAACGUGCGCCAAACUGGAU